rnacentral:rRNA from 1 species
UACGGAGGGGGUUAGCGUUGUUCGGAAUUACUGGGCGUAAAGCGCACGUAGGCGGAUCGACAAGUUGGGGGUGAAAUCCCGGGGCUCAACCCCGGAACUGCCUCCAAAACUGUCAGUCUUGAGUUCGAGAGAGGUGAGUGGAAUUCCGAGUGUAGAGGUGAAAUUCGUAGAUAUUCGGAGGAACACCAGUGGCGAAGGCGGCUCACUGGCUCGAUACUGACGCUGAGGUGCGAAAGCGUGGGGAGCAAACAGG